rnacentral:rRNA from 1 species
GACGAACGCUGGCGGCGUGCUUAACACAUGCAAGUCGAACGAUGAAGCAAAGAAUUGCAGCUUCGGCAGAAAUUCAUUUCGGAUUAGUGGCAGACGGGUGAGUAACGCGUGAGCAACCUACCUCUUACAAGGGGAUAGCCUCGGGAAACCGGGAUUAAUACCAUAUAACAUUGCGACGAAGCAUUUCGAUGCAAUCAAAGCUACGGCGGUAAGAGAUGGGCUCGCGUCCCAUUAACCAGAUGGUGAGGUAACGGCUCACCAUAGUAACGAUGGGUAACCGGCCUGAGAGGGUGAACGGUCACACUGGAACUGAGACACGGUCCAGACUCCUACGGGAGGCAGCAGUGGGGAAUAUUGCACAAUGGAGGGAACUCUGAUGCAGCGACGCCGCGUGAGUGAUGAAGGAAUUCGUUUCGUAAAACUCUGUUCUAUGGGAAGAAAAGGACUGUACCAUAGGAGAAAGCUCCGGCUAAAUACGUG